GAAAUGCGAUAAGUAGUGUGAAUUGCAGAAUUCAGUGAAUCAUCGAAUCUUUGAACGCACAUUGCGCCCCUUGGUAUUCCAUGGGGCAUGCCUGUUCGAGCGUCAUUUGUACCUUCAAGCUCUGCUUGAUGUUGGGUGUUUUGUCUCGCCUCUGCGUGUAGACUCGCCUUAAAACAAUUGGCAGCCGGCGUAUUGAUUUCGGAGCGCAGUACAUCUCGCGCUUUGCACUCAUAACGACGACGUCCAAAAGUACAUUUUUACACUCUUGACCUCGGAUCAGGUAGGGAUACCCGCUGAACUUAAGC
rnacentral:misc_RNA from 1 species